ACAGGGGCUCCCCAGUGCAUUCGCGGAGAGCUGGUUUUGUGAAGAAUGCAUGGGGGAAAUGGCAUUUCUGGGCAGGUCAGUGGAUUCAAACUAUACCACACAUGCUGCCGUACGAUUCUCAGGACAAAAUCGACGACCAUCUAAAAGCCAUGUAUCGGGCCGAGCUUGCAGCUGUGUGACCCAAGUCACCAUCAACUGGGACAACACUGGAGGGAGCCGGGCCCUCGAUGAGCCAUCCCCCGAAAGUCAUCCAGAGAGGGGAAAAGAACCUGGCAGAACAGGUCCACCUUUUCAUUCCACUACUGCUGCCUGCCAGUGGAACCAAACUGGUCCUCGGCCCGCUAUGCCUCGCCCUCCUUCUGUUGAAGUUAAAGUGAGGAAAACUGACUCAAUUUUAAAAGUCACAG